CUAAACUUCGGAGAUGAAUUGCAGCCCGUGGCCUCUUCUACUGCACACCCAAGGGUGACAAGCUCCACUGACUAGCAUCUUAGAUGCCCUUCGGCCACAUCGUCGUGUGAGUAGGCUUCAACCGAAUAGAUCUAGAAGGGGAGCUGGCCAUGGAAUUCGGAAGGACAAAGACUCAAGAACAGGGUAGAUGCCGACAUUUCUAUCUCAAUAUGU